UCAUCCCGUGAUAUAGAAUCUGGUUGUUCUUCAUCAACUGUUUCGAGUGCAUUGAUAGAAGAGAAAGGUAAAACUGAGAAAAAGCUUUCUUCCGUUUCUAAGACAGCAGCUACAAAUGUACAAACUGGACAUUCAGAAGAGAAGAUUGCUCUAGAAGAUUCCGGAACAUUUCUCCCUCCCAUUUUGUGACUCUGUUUGAAUUUUAUCUUUCUGUAUAUUAAUACAUAUCUCCAUUCGUUGCAAAAUGUUCCACACUCGGCCUUCAAGUGCACUCACUGUUCACGUCCAUCACUAUUCUGAGUACAAUGAUGUACAUAUUGUAAAUAAAAUGUACUAUAUUCGUGUGUAGAGUCAUCAUCCAAUAAAUUCCUUGGAGGUUUUGCCUUUCUUUUGAUCAUUGCACUAAAUUAAACUAAAAUAUGAAUAUUU